CAGAUGCUCUGCUCUAGCUUCCUAUUUGUCUGCUUUUGGCCUGCAGAAAAUGAAACCCGUCUUACCUCAGGUCUAAUGAAAAGACUAAGCCUCUUCUCCGGCUGCAGGAGGGAAAAAAAAUACCAGAAUGGGUGCAGCCCAGCUAAAAAUAUUUCCCAUCUUCAUCUCUUUCUGAGAAAACUGCUUAAACCCCUUGGUUGAGCACUGGCCGAACACUGACCAGCCACUGUCCAGCAAACAGAGGUUAAAUAUGCAGCAUGCAAGGCAAGAUCAUUCUGGCUGUACAGCCUACAUAUGGAUGUACAAAAAAUGAUUUGCACAGUCCUUGCCAGUUGGUCUUUGCACUGCAGGUCCAGGAUAGCAUCUUGAUUUUCUGAGUAUGUCAUCUGGCAAUGCUGGUUGAUGUCUUUGCAUGAAUCUAAGGAAAGAAUGUGCUUUUUAAAAGGAAGACUUUGACUCUGUCAGAAGUAGGCUGUGUGCUAAAGAUUUGUUACUCCAUAACAAAAGGCAGCCACUGAUUUGCAGACACAGCUCACACUGAUGUCAACGAAAGCUGCACAUAGAGUUCAAGUGUGCAAAGGGGCCCUUUGCCUCUAAUUCAUCUCAGGGCUUGCCUUAUUUCAUUACACAGCUUUGAGCUGAAUGAGAUCGGGACAUAUUUUUAAAGAUGUUGGCUGCAGAUCCACACCGAUGAGAAGUGAGAAAAUCCUUGCAGUUCCACGGACAAGUCGAAAACCUGCCUGAACAAACUGCCAGUUCAACUGUUCUUAAAGCAGCCACAGACCAGGGAAUUUGUGCACACAACUGAGUGUCAAAUACUCUCCUGGUGUGUUUUGGCGUAAUUUCAUUUGCUUCAGUGGAGGCAUGAUGGUUUUCAUCAGCUAAAGAUCUGGUUUUAAAGUACACAUAUAUAUUUUGAAGCUCCAUCCUCAAAGUUCACAAGCUUGGGUUUUGUUUGGGUUUUUUUCUGUUCUCUCUGGGGUAGUUUCACUGAGCUGUUCCUAUAUUGUUUUAUUUUUUCUUGAAGAAUCUAGACACAAUAAAAACUGUAGGGCUGGUCAAGGAAUGCUAUGUUAAAGUGUAACUUCAGAAGAAAAGUAGCACAAUUCUACACUGGCCAGUACAAACAAAGGGGUUUUUUUUUUAAAUAGCCUCUUUACAUACUAAAAAAAUCAUUACCUUUUCUGCCCCUAAUUUUUUUCUCUAUAGCCUUUCUUACACUGAUACUCUGUGUGUUGCAGACUGAUAAACAGCAGUCACUGACUCUAUUGCAGUUAAACCAUAGAAGGAAAACUAGAAUGGUGCUGAAGCAGCCACAUGGAAGGGAGAGGGGGAAAAAGGUAAGUCAGAGUGUUAACAACUCCCAAAGUCUUUACACACCAGGGUAGAACUUACUUUGAGUUUAAAAUAAUGCAAGUCUAUGCCUCUACAGCAGUCAGAGAAUCACAGCAUUGUUAGGGUUGGAAGGGACCUCUGGAGAUCAUCCAGUUCAACCUCUCUGCCAAGGCAGGAUCACCUGGAGCAAGUUACACAGGAAUGUUUCCAGGUGGGUUUUGGAUAUCUCCAGAGAGGGAGACUCCACGACCUUCCUGGACAGCAUGUUCCAGUGCUCUGCCACCAUAGUCCCCUAGCUAGGCAGGAAUAAGCAGGCUGUGCAGUAGAUGGCAUGUUAUUUCCUAAGCCAAUGAAGCACUGUAGGUGGAGAGUUAGAAAUUUGUCACUAUAUUUUGUUAUUAUUUUGAUCAUCCUAGAACAAAGCAUACAGAAAGCAGGAAUCCUAGUCUCAUACAGAUUCUUGAGGAAUUUCUGAAGGUGAAUUUUUCACCACAGUCAUGAGCUAGUCAUAUUAGCAGAGCUGACCAGAUCUGAAGAGACACUUAUCCAUCAUCUAACAUUCAGAGAAGAUUCAUGACAGUUCUGAACUGUAUCCAGUGUGGACACCACAAAUCUGGCAGGGCUGCACCACUUAAUUUCAGGGCUAGAGACACCACAGCCUCUUCACCACAAGGCUCUCUGCACAUUAGUUGAGUGCUCAGCCAAGCCUCUUUCCCUGGAAGACUCUUGUCUCCUUUCUGUGAGCUACUUCUAGAAUUCCCCUCAGCUUGUCUUUCUAAAAUAUGCAGUAUAAUCCUAAAAAUGUUUUAGGUGUGUGACUUGUAUUGUCUGGAAAGUUGGAGUAUUCUCCACUGCCAAGACUGCACUGCUCACAAGCAGUGUGUUCGCACUCAAGAUCCUUGCAGACCAGAGCGGUCGCCAUAAUUGAAAACAGUAUCUGUUCGGCAUUCAGGCUGAGCUGAGAGUCUGUUUUCCAUGUUCAUCACUGCUAAAUUAGUUAUGCUGUUACUGAGUGGGGAAUUCAGGCGUAGGUUUUCAAAGUCUCCAGCAUUAAGUUACCAGUCACUGUCCCAAACUGUCAUUUUGGUUAUGCAAUUAAAGUUUCCCUGAGAGCGUUUAAACAGAAACCAGAGUGUGCAUUUCCACAAAGUGUUUCACAUCCAUUCUUUUUCAUAGAAGGCUGAAGAAAAAAUUAAUUUUGAUAAAAUGUUAGGUCAGUGUUUCAGAAUGUACUAUGACAGAGAGCAUGAGAGAAUUUGUGGCCAGUAUGCCCACCUAGACUAAAACCCAGCUGUACAGUGGAGUCUGAAAUGAUCACCCAUUGGCUUUGCAACUCCCAGUCUGUAUAUUUGCAGGAUGAAUUCUGUUGUGAGCAAUUCCCUUUCAACUUUAAUUUUCCCUGGCUGUUGCAAAUGGGAGGAUCAUUCACCUCUUUGACAUAAACUGUUAUGUUUUUGUACAUUUUUCAAUAGCUGCCACAGAAAUGGAUGCAUUCUAGCAGGAGGCAGAAUUAUUCAGCCACAUAUCUGUACUCCUUUCGCUCAUACAUUAUACUACAUUCUAAUUUUAUGUGAUUGUCAUUAAUUUACUAACAAAUUAUUUCUCUUAUUUCAGAGUCAGAGCAGAGAUACAAUUUUAUAAGUAUUGAAACCAGCCGGGCAUCUUGAAUAUUUCCUUGACAUAUUUUGGUGUAUUCCUAAGUUGCUUUAUCAGUCAUUAAAGCUCAGCUUGCAGUACUUAACAAUCUUGGCCUUGAUCCUAUAAGCAUGCAUAUGCCUUGCUUUAUGCAUAUAAGCACUCUCAUUGAAAUCAAUAUUCAUCCACAUUACAUUAAGUACACACAUAAGUGUUUGCAGGAUUGAGGCUGCCUUUUUUUUUUUUUCCCUGUAUUCAUACUAUUUUCUGCCUGGUGUCUAUUGUAGUCUUUUGAGUAAAUGAUUUGUAGGCUGAAUAGGGCUCUUCAGAUCGCAUUCCUCACUGAAUGAUACAAUUCCUCAUGUAGUGCCAGGACCCACUCAAGGCUUUUCAGUUCUGGAGGCAACAUUAACUUCCAGUUCCCCAAAGAGCAAAAUUGAAUUUUGUGAUAAUGACACAAAAUAUUCAACAAGUGUGUACAGGGAGGUGUUGAGGGCUGAGGGAAUCCAGUAAGGACAAAGUGGAUGAGGGUUCAGAAAGGCCAGAGGAUGUCAUAGAGAGCAGUGUGUGUGUAUUGGAGUAGUCCAUAAGAUCUCAGUAGAGCUCUGUGUUUUCGAGGGAGCCAGAGAAGCCAUGCAGAUCUUGAGGGAGGAAGGGAGUGACAAAGAGAGGAAGUACUGCUGUUCGUGGUAGCUGUAUAUCUUGUUCCAUCAAAUAGAUGUGGAUCAUCUAUUUGCACAAUAAGUUAAAAAAGCUUUCAGGGAGGCUUCCUCCUGGAGAUGCAGAAUCUAAUGCUUUCAUGGCCCUCCGUUCUUUUCUGAGGAAAAGAAAGCAUUAUUGAUGAGAAUGGAUCUUGGAAAGUUUUAUUACAAAUGUUCUGUUUUAAAUAUUAGACCCUUCCAGAACAAAUUACACUUUAUUAAUAUUUUGUGUUAGGAUCAUUAUGGAUGACUUAAAAUGUUGGAUGGAAUAGAGGACUUUAUGCCUCUUACUAGAUCUUGUUUGUCAGGCUAUUUAAUCUGUCAUUUUUCAAGGGCUUUUGAGGUUUUUUCAAGAAUGACUUGUGUCUUAAUUCAUUGCAAUUAUUAAAAUUCUUCAAUUUAAAAAAAAAAAUCCUAUUUGUUUUCUGCCAUUUGUGCUGGCUCUUUGUGUUCCAUCUACUACAAUUAAAAAAGGACCAGUCAUAUUCACUGCUGUUUGCAGUAAAUUUAUCUCUGAAGUUUGCGUGUACCACCACUGGAAUUUUUGUCUUACAAUGGUGAUAAGACGGUUUUGUCUCUUAUUUAACUUUGUGUAGCUACACUGAAAAGUAAAAUAUGGAAGCAUUUUUUUGUUCUGAUGUUGGAGUUAUAAAUAUAAAACAGAAAUGCUGUGUUUUACCUGAAAAUGUUUCUGUAAAUCUCAAGAGUUAUGACAUUUUAUGGUUGUUCAUCCGCUUAGAUCUUGUCUCAUCAUUCAUUAUUUUUCCACUUUUUUCAUAGCAUGGGAAUUUUUUUAUAGAUUAAGUUUUAAUUUGGCUCUCCAGUUUAUUAAGUAUGUGACUAAAGAUAUCCAUCAAUUAUGCCCUACUUCAUCUGUACAAAUUUCAAUACCUUGGAAUUUAAAAACUGAAAAACUGUGCCUGAAAAGUGUGCUCUUUUUCCACCUGCAUCAGGUUUUUUAAAAGAAAAAAAUUACUUCUCCCUAAAACUUUGUUUCUUUUAAAUCCUAAGCCUGUAUGGCUACAAGGCUACUUUCCUAGACAUGAAGGCAUUAAUCAUAUCUGACAGAUUUUUCCCUUCUAUAAUAAGCAACAUUUCUCAUAAUAAGACAUAAAAAUAGGACAUGAAUUAACAUGACACACCACAGAAGAUCAGUGAGUACAAACUCAGAUUUAAAUUUCCAAGUCUUUUGGGGCUAUGUUAAUUUUUUGCACCAUUAAGUAGUUUCCAGUUUCAAUCCCCAUUUAUUCUAGGCAAAACCACAACAGAAGCAUACAAUGCAUUACAGCUUGCACUGGUGGAAGGUUCCAGCAGCUCAGCCUCUCUCUUGUCCUCCAGACGGCAGUGGGUAUUUCAGGCACUCCUUCAGCCCCUGAAUUACUGCCUCCAACAUCUGGACUUUCCAGACAUUCCCAACAAUGGAGUACUGGGGGCGAGGAAUUUCUGCUGGUUGAAAGUGGAAUUUGGCUUCAAUUAAAAAAAUAAAUAAA